rnacentral:rRNA from 1 species
CUAGAGCUUGGCUCUGACUCUCUUAUAUAAUAGUAACAAAAGACUACACAUGGUUUACUUUUACAGCGGUGAGUGUUAAAACUUUUAUUGAGCUUUGCUAAAAAAGCCCGCUCUUUAAGUUUCAAAAGUAUUAUACACUUAAUGAUACUACAAGCUCCGCUCACUAACACCAGUGUCUGAUAUUAAUAAAGGGACGAAAGUCUGCAUUAGAUAAGUUUUUAGGUCCGGUCAAUAUUGGUGCCAGCAUCCGCGGUUACACCAAAGAACCAAGUUAUAUAUCUUAAGGUAAAAAGGUGGUUAAGUAACAAAUCCAUCAUAACCCUAUUCUUAGCUCUUAAUAUUGCUGAAUAAAAAGUAAAAUUUGAAAUUCAUCAUUUAUUCUUUUAAGAUCUAUAUAAAUUUUGUAUAUACUGAAGCCACGAAACCUAAGAGGGAAACUAGGAUUAGAUACCCUACUAUUCUUAGAUAUAAAUCAAUUUCUUUACCAGAGUACUACGAACAUCAAGUUUAAAACUCAAAGGGCUUGGCGGUGCUUUAGACUUCUCAGGGGAACCUGUCUCGUAAUCGACAAUCCACGAACCAACCUCACCUUUUCUUGUAAUUCAGUCUGUAUACCGUCGUCGUCAGGUGACUUUUAAAAACAAAGAAGUUAGCAACAAAAUAAAUUAAUUUUUACGUCAGAUCAAGGUGCAGCCUAUGAAAAGGAGUAGAUGGGUUACAAUUAAAACUUAUAACUACGGAUUUAAUCUCUAACAAGUUUUUAAAGGCGGACUUGAAAGUAAAGCCUAGCAGCUAAAUGUCUUGAAUUAAGCUCUGAAGCGUGCACACAUCGCCCGUCGCUCUCGUUGAAAAAUGAGAUAAGUCGUAACAUAGUAGGGGUAAUGGAAGUUGCCCCUAAAUGAAA